UGAUAACCCCUGUAGCAGAACUUCCACUGU
rnacentral:piRNA from 1 species